CUGCAUGGUUGUCGUCAGCUCGUGCCGUGAGGUGUCGGGUUAAGUCCCAUAACGAGCGCAACCCCUACCUUAGUUGCCAUCAGGUUAAGCUGGGGACUCUAAAGGAACUGCCUACGCAAGUAGUGAGGAAGGCGGGGAUGACGUCAAAUCAGCACGGCCCUUACGUCCAGGGCUACACACGUGCUACAAUGGCCGAUACAGAGGGCGGCUACCUGGUGACAGGAUGCAAAUCUCCAAAGUCGGUCUCAGUUCGGAUCGGAGUCUGCAACCCGACUCCGUGAAGUUGGAUUCGCUAGUAAUCGCGCAUCAGCCAUGGCGCGGUGAAUACGUUCCCGGGCCUU
rnacentral:rRNA from 1 species